ensembl:lncRNA
GGCUUAUAUUACAAAAUUAAUUAUUAUUUAAUUUAAUUGUACUUUUUAUUUCAGACCUUCUCUCAUAACACCGCUUGUACGUCACAUAAAUAACUGCAUAAAUUCAGUCAAAGUACACUCCGAACAAUGAGAAAUUUUGACCGCUGUAUAAAUUUGAUGAAAAUUGAAAAUUAUCGACAGACGCAGCACGCGUUUCUUUUUUAUAGUCGCUGGAAAAUGACGCAAGCGAGACGUAUAAGAGCGCCCGUCUCGCGCAUGACGUUCUCUUGGAGUCGUUGCUAUCGCUUGGCGAGAACCAUCUUCUCAUCAUGAGAGCGAAGUGGCGAAAGAAGCGUAUGCGCAGGCUGAAGCGUAAAAGGAGAAAGAUGAGGCAGAGGUCUAAGUAAACUGGACCCUGUUCGCUGAAGCUGAGAGUGCUCCUCUACUUCAAUCUCCUCAGCAAGAGUCUGCUGGAAGCCCAACUGAAGCUCCACUCAUCCACCAUCUGUGAGGCCUGCUUUCUUCUGAACGAGGAUUUGGUUUUCCAUCACCUGGUUCUGCAGAAGCAUCCUGGUCUUGAUGACCAUGUGAACUGUUUUGGACAUUCCUUAGACCUGUCAGCUCAGCAAGUUUGUUAAUGUCUUCAAUAAAUCUUUUUGGUUUA